UCGUGGAGUGAUCUGUCUGCUUAAUUGCGUUUCACACAGGGCGUUUAAAAUAUAUGUAUGAGAUGGCUGACGCCAUUCCUCUCAUGGAAUGUUGCUUGUCGCCGCUCGUCAUAUAUAAACUGUCCCUGAAUGCAACGAACGUGACCGCAACCUCUUGUUAUUUCUCUUUCAAAGUGAACAAUAUUGUAACUUCGGUUCAUAUUGUCUUUCA
rnacentral:rRNA from 1 species